AGUGAACGCUGGCGGCGUGCCGAAUACAUGCAAGUCGAACGGUGUGGCGCACGGGUGAGUAAUGUAUAGCUAAUCUGCCGGACACUAGAGGAAAACAGUUGGUAACGGCUGCUAAUACUCUAUAGUGUAGGAUGAGGCUAUAUUGUAUAAGCUAGAUGGUGUGGUCAUGGCUCACCAAGGCUAUGACGCAUAACUGGUCUGAGAGGAUGACGAGUCACACUGUAGGUGAGACACUGUCGGGGCUCCUACGGGAGGCAGCGAUAGGGAACAUUGUUCAAUGGGGGCAGCGCUGCCGCUGCAACGCUGCGUGGAGGAUGACAGUUUUCGGAACGUAAAUUGCUUUUGUUAGAAAAGCGUUACCUAACGAAUAAGCACCGGCUAACGCCGUGCCAGCAGCCGCGGUAAUAC
rnacentral:rRNA from 1 species